rnacentral:misc_RNA from 1 species
CAGCUUACAAGCACCUGUCCCUCAACUUCUUGCUCAUUAAUCCCUCCUCUGCUCCCUUACAAUAGCACCUGCUCAUCAAGAUCCUUCCUACUCUCAAAUGAUUUACCAAAACAACCUCUCACAAGCAUCUGUCGCACGUAACAAACUUAUACCCAAUUGCACUACAUUAGCAUAACAUCACCCUUUAACCCAAUACAAGGGAUGAAAGACACAAACCAGAAGCAGAGGGAGACAAACCCCAACAAAGCAAUUAAGCACACUUCAUCCCAAGG